rnacentral:rRNA from 1 species
AGUGGCGACCGGGUGAGUAACACGUGACUAACCUACCUUCGAGUGGGGGAUAACCUAGGGAAACCUGGGCUAAUACCGCAUAACAUCUUUGGAGUGGAAAUUCUGGAGAUCAAAGGGGCAAUUCGCUUGAAGAGGGGGUCGCGGCUGAUUAGCUAGUUGGCGGGGUAAUGGCCCACCAAGGCGAAGAUCGGUAGCCGGCCUGAGAGGGCGCACGGCCACACUGGAACUGAAACACGGUCCAGACUCCUACGGGAGACAGCAGUGGGGAAUUUUGCGCAAUGGGGGAAACCCUGACGCAGCAACGCCGCGUGGAGGAUGAAGUCCCUGCUGGACGUAAACUCCUUUCGACCGGGACGAUUAUGACGGUACCGGUGGAAGAAGCCCCGGCUAACUUCGUGCCAGCAGCCGCGGUAAUACGAGGGGAGCAAGCGUUGUCCGGAUUUAUUGGGCGUAAAGAGUUCGUAGGCGGUUUGUUAAGUCUGGUGUUAAAUAUCGGGGCUCAACCUCGGGACUGCAUUGGA